rfam:Neurospora crassa OR74A unplaced genomic scaffold supercont12.9, whole genome shotgun sequence.
UAACUUCGGAUUAGGUAAGAAUACCUACUAAAUUUAAGUAUAUUAAUAAGUAGAGGAAAAGAAAUUAAUAGGAAUUGCCCUAAUAACGGCGAAUAAAGUAGUAACAACUCAAAUUUAAAAUUUAACUUCGGCCCGAAUUAUAAUUUAUAAAAGAAGUUUUUAAUGAGGUACCUUCUAAAUCCCUUAGAACGGGGUACUAUAGAGGGUAAGAACCCUAUAUAGUUGGAUACCGAUUUAAUAUAAAGUUCUUUCAAUGAAUUAAAUAAUUUAGGAAUACUACUCAAAAUAGGAAGUAAAUUUCUUCUAAAGCUAAAUACCGGCUAAAGACCGAUAGUAUAUAAAUAGAAUAAUCGAAAGAUAAAAAGCAUUUUAAAAAGAGGGUUAAAUAGUACGUAAAAUUAUUAAAAGGGAAACGUUUAUAAUUAAACUUAUACUAUUCUAAUUAUUUGGUAUUCUUACCGGUAUAUUUAGGAUAAUUUAAAUUAAUAUCGGUUUUAGCAGGGGGAUAAAGGUCCGGGGAAUAUAGCUCCUCUAGGAGUAUUAUAGCCCCGGGCGUAAUACCUUCGCUAGGACCGAAGUUCGCGCAUUUACAAGGAUACUAAUAUAAUAAUUAUUAAUAACCCGUUUUAAAAUAUAGACUAAAGAAUUAAAAUUUUACAUAAGUAUUUGGGUAUAAAACCCGUACAUAUAAUAAAAAUAAAUAUAGGUAAGAGUUUUAGUAUAUUAUUAACCGAUUUUAAUAUAUUUGGAUAGAUUUAAAUAAAAGUAUUAAACUUUAGACCCGAAAGAUAGUAAACUAUAUUUAAAUAGGGUAAAGCUAGAGGAAAUUCUAAUAGAAGUUCGUAAUAGUUUUAACAUAUAAAUUGAUUAUUAAAUUUAAGUAUAGGGGCGAAAGACUAAUUGAACUAUUUAAUAGCUAAUUACCGCCAAAAUUUCCCUUAGGAUAGUAAUAUUAUUCUUCAAUUUUAUAAGGUAAAGCGAAUAAUUAGGGACUCGGAGGCGCUUUUUAACCUUUAUCCAUUCUUAAAUUUUAAAUAUAUAAGAAGCCCUUAUUAUUUAAUUGAAUGUAGGUAUUUAAAUAUACUAAUAUUAAUAGGCUAUUUUUAGUAAAUAAAAUUAAUAAUAUAAGAUAAACCGAACGUAGGGUUAAAAUAUUAAAGUAGACGUUUAUUAAAUAUUAUAAAAAACGUUAAUAUAUUUUAAUAGUAGGACAGUAGCUAUAGAAGUUAAAAUCUACUAAAGACUAUAUAAUAACUUACUUACCGAAUAUAUUAAUCCUAAAAAUAAAUAACGCUUAAACGUCCUACUUAUACCCCACCUUUAGAGUAGAAAUAAUAUUCUAAGGAGUAGGCGGCUAUAGAGGUUAAUAACGAAGUUUAGGGUAUAAACCCGGGUCGAACGGCCUUUAAUAUAAAUUUUAGUAAUAGUAAUAAAUAUUUUAAUAAGAAUUUAAAGGAUCGAAGUAGGGAAAGGUUUUAUAUAAAUAGCAGUUAAAUAUAAGUUAAUUAAUUUUAAACUAUAAGGAAGUUCCAUUUUAAAGGGGUAUUUAUACCCUAUAUAGCGAAAGGGAAGCCGGUUAAUAUUCUAGUACUUAAAUAUAGGUUUUGUAUAGUAACGCAACUAAAUAUAGAGAUAAUAGCGGGGGCUCCGGGUAGAAUUCUCUUUUCUUCUUAAUAGUCUAUUACUUUAAAAAUAAUUUAUUUAGAAAUAGGGUUUAAUAGCCGGAAGAGCCCAAUACUUCUAUUAAGUCCGGUAUAUUCUUAAUAUCCCUUAAAAAUCCGUAGGAGGGAAUAAUUCUUAUACUAGGUUAUACUUAUAAUUAUAGUAAAUCUCUAAAAUAAAUAACCUUUAAUUAAUAGAAUAAUAUAAAUAAGGGAAGUCGGCAAAAUAGAUCCGUAACUUCGGGAAAAGGAUUAAUUCUAAGGGUUAAGUAUAUUAGGCUUUAAGUAAACGCCUUAGGAAUAGAUUGUUACUAGCCGGGUAAUUAGCUAGCGGUUUUUAAUAUCCGGGUAUAGAAGCCUUUAAUAGACUUUAGUUAUCCAGCGUACGUUUAAUAACCAAUUUAGAAUUAGUAUAAAUAAAGGGAAUUUAAUUGUUUAAUUAAAAUAUAGUAUUACAAUAGUUAAAAAGUAAUAUUAAUAUAAUAUAAUUUCUAUUUAGUAUUUUAAAUAUUAAAGUAAAGAAAUUUAAUUAAGCGCGGGUAAAUAGUAGGAAUAACUAUAAUUUUCUUAAAGUAACUAAAUACUUCGUUAUCUAAUUAGUAAUAUAUAUAAAUAGAUUAAUAAGAUUCCUAUUAUCCCUAUUUAUUAUUUAGCGAAACUAUAACUAAGGGAAUAGGCUUAGUAGAAUUAGUGGGGAAAGAAGACCCUAUUAAGUUUAAUUCUAGUUUAAUAUUAUAAAAAGAUAUAGGAGGUAUAAAAUAAGUAGGAAUUUUAACGUUAGUAAAAUAUUACUAUUCCUAUUAUUUUUUUACUUAUUUAAUUAAGCGGGGCUAGAUUUUCGUCCAACUUCUAAUUUUAAAAUCCUUCGUAGGCUAAUCCGGAUUAAAAAUAUUAUUAAAUAAGGAGUUUAACUAGGGUAGUAUAUUUAUUAAACUAUAACGCAAGUAUCUUAAAGGGGGCUUAUAGAGAAUAGAAAUCUCUAAUAAAAUAAAAAGGUAAAAGUCCCCUUAAUUUUGAUUUUUAAUAUAAAUACAAACUAUAAAAGUAUAGCCUAUCGAUCCUUUAGUCCCUCGAAAUUUAAAAUUAGAAGUACUAAAAAAGUUACUAUAAGGAUAAUUAGUUUGUAGCGGCCAAACGUUUAUAGCAAUAUUACUUUUUAAUCCUUUAAUAUUAGUUCUUCCUAUUAUACCAAAGUAGAAUUCGGUAAGUAUUAGAUUAUUUACUUAUUAAUAAGGAACGUAAAUUAGGUUUAGACUAUUAUAAAAUAAGUUAAUUUUACCCUACUAAUAACUUUAUUAUAAUAAUAAUUAAAUUUAAUACAAGAGGAACUAUUCAUUUAGAUAAUUAGUUUUUAUAGUUAUUUAACCAAGUAGUAUUAUAAUACUACUAUCUACUAAAUAAUAAUUAAAUGCCUCUAAAUUAAAAUCUAUAUUAGAAUAUAAUAAUACCUCUAAUAUAUUAUAGACGUAUAAGAAUAGGCUCCGGCUUCGUAUUUUAAUAGGCAAUUCCUCCAUUAAUUUUAAAAUAGCUAACGGUAAUUUAUAUAUUAUAAUUUUAAUAUACAUUGGAUUAAAUCCUUUAUAAAUAAUUUAAAUAUACGAAAGGGUCCUAUAAGUAGUAGAGUAGUUUUAUUAUUACAAUUUACUAAGAGUAAGCCUUCCUUCGUUUAAAUUUCU